rnacentral:ncRNA from 1 species
GCUUUGCUACGGUUGAGGAAACCCGACGAGACGCGCCGUACCGGGUACGACAAGACGACGCACC